CAUUCGAGUGGCGGACGGGUGAGUAACGCGUGGGUAACCUGCCUUACACAGGGGGAUAACACCUGGAAACAGGUGCUAAUACCGCAUAAGCGCACAGGGCCGCAUGGCCCGGUGUGAAAAACUCCCGGUGGUGUAAGAUGGACCCGCGUCUGAUUAGCUUGUUGGCGGGGUAGGGGCCCACCAAGGCGACGAUCAGUAGCCGGCCUGAGAGGGUGAACGGCCACAUUGGGACUGGGACACGGCCCAAACUCCUACGGAAGGCAGCAG
rnacentral:rRNA from 1 species